rnacentral:sRNA from 1 species
ACAGAGAGAGGUAUAUAUAAGCUUUCUUUAAUAAUGUUCUUUCUACGGAAAAAUACCAAAAAAAA